ACAGCAGUAGCCGCGGUAAUACGUAGGGUGCAAGCGUUAAUCGGAAUUACUGGGCGUAAAGCGUGCGCAGGCGGUUAUAUAAGACAGAUGUGAAAUCCCCGGGCUCAACCUGGGAACUGCAUUUGUGACUGUAUAGCUAGAGUACGGCAGAGGGGGAUGGAAUUCCGCGUGUAGCAGUGAAAUGCGUAGAUAUGCGGAGGAACACCGAUGGCGAAAGCAAUCCCCUGGGCCUGUACUGACGCUCAUGCACGAAAGCGUGGGGAGCAAACAGGAUUAGAUACCCCUGUAGUCCCUGUCUCUUAUAA
rnacentral:rRNA from 1 species